UACAGAGGGUGCGAGCGUUAAUCGGAAUUACUGGGCGUAAAGCGUGCGUAGACGGUUAUUUAAGUCGGAUGUGAAAGCCCCGGGCUCAACCUGGGAAUUGCAUUCGAGACUGAAUAGCUAGGGUGCGGUAGAGGGAAGCGGAAUUUCCGGUGUAGCGGUGAAAUGCGCAGAUAUCGGGAGGAACACCAAUUGCGAAGGCAGCUCGCUGGGACGUAACUGACGCUGAGACGCGAAAGCGUGGGGAGCAAACAGG
rnacentral:rRNA from 1 species